CAGUAGCCGCGGUAAUACAGAGGGUGCAAGCGUUAAUCGGAAUUACUGGGCGUAAAGCGCGCGUAGGUGGUUUGUUAAGUCGAAUGUGAAAUCCCCUGGCUCAACCUGGGAACUGCAUCCGAAACUGGCAAGCUAGAGUAUGGUAGAGGGUAGUGGAAUUUCCUGUGUAGCGGUGAAAUGCGUAGAUAUAGGAAGGAACACCAGUGGCGAAGGCGACUACCUGGACUGAUACUGACACUGAGGUGCGAAAGCGUGGGGAGCAAACAGGAUUAGAUACCCCGGUAGUCCCUGUCUCUUAUAC
rnacentral:rRNA from 1 species